rnacentral:rRNA from 1 species
UACGUAGGGGGCAAGCGUUGUCCGGAAUCAUUGGGCGUAAAGAGCGUGUAGGCGGCCCGAUAAGUCCGCUGUGAAAGUCCAGGGCUCAACCCUGGAAUGCCGGUGGAUACUGUCGGGCUCGAAUCCGGAAGAGGUGAGUGGAAUUCCUGGUGUAGCGGUGAAAUGCGCAGAUAUCAGGAGGAACACCAAUGGCGAAGGCAGCUCACUGGGACGGUAUUGACGCUGAGACGCGAAAGCUGGGGGAGCAAACGGG